CAGUCGCCGCGGGAAUACGUAGGGGGCGAGCGUUGUCCGAAGUUACUGGGCGUAAAGAGCGCGUAGGCUGGUCUUUAAGUGAGUGGUGAAAGGUUCGGGCUCAACCCGGACACUGCCUUUCAUACUGGGGACCUUGAGUGUGGGAGAGGCGAGUGGAAUGGUCGGUGUAGCGGUGAAAUGCGUAGAUAUCGAUCGGAACACCCAUGGCGAAGGCAGCUCGCUGGCCUAACACUGACGCUGAGGCGCGAAAGCGUGGGGAGCAAACAGGAUUAGAUACCCCCGUAGUCCCUGUCUCUUAUAC
rnacentral:rRNA from 1 species